rnacentral:misc_RNA from 1 species
UAUAAACUUUGUUAUUUUCUUUUCGUUCAUUGAUCAAUCCAAUUACAACAAAGACUAUCAAGAGUAUUCACAAUUGUUAAUCAUUUAUUAUUAGAUCGAUGAAUAUCUUUUUAUGUUCAUGAUGUAAUUUGUUUGUUCAAGUUCGUACUUCGUAAUCUUUAUAAAUGUAUUUAAAUAAAAUUAAUUUAAAAAAGUGCGUGUAAAGGAGGGAGGGGGAGAGAGAGAAAGAGAGAGAAAAAUAAAAAGAGAGGACGUGGGUGUGUAACUUAUUAGGUUACUACGUUGUAUCCGCUUCGAGUACGCAAUAAAUAAGUGGCACUUGGACUUAUGCCAAGCUCGACGAAGUUCUAGAAAUCCAAAUCAAAAAUGGGUUGCGCCUCACAGUGUGCCAAGUACUUUUUGUGCUUUUUCAACUUUGUAUUUUUCGUCGCUGGCGGAGCAGCAUUGACCGUUGGUAUCUGGUUGUUUGCCGACAGGAGCUCCUUCACGAACCUCAUCGCAAAGCUCGAUCAGUCCGAUAUUCUGACAAAAACGGAUACCGAUGUUAUAAGAAUGAUGUCCUAUAUCCUAAUCAUUGCCGGUGCCCUUACGUUCAUUGUUAGCUUUUUAGGAUAUUGCGGUGCAAUGUUCGAAUCUAGAUGUCUCCUCUGUGUCUAUGGCGUCCUUCUUUUAUUGGUUUUGGUCCUGGAAUGUGUGGUGGUUGGCCUUGCGUUUGGACUAAAAGGAGACGCGGAAAAGGGUACACAAAGUUUCUUGAAGUCGACAAUCAAGUAUUACGCAGCAAGCGUGGAUCAGACCGAAACCGUGACAGUUGCGUGGGAUGGUAUUAUGAGCCAGCUUCAUUGUUGCGGUGUUGAAAGUUAUUUGGAUUUUCACGAAAGUACAAAUUGGACGACAACCAACAAAGUGGUACCGGAAUCUUGUUGCAUAAAACAAAAUGGUGAACUGCAGGAUCGCUCGUGUCCUCUCAAUCCUACGUCCACGAACUCUUAUUAUCAGAAGGGUUGUUACAAAGCGAUACUAACGACGGUAGAAGAAAAUGCCGCAAUAGUUAUAGGAGUAGCAGCUGGUUUAGUCCUGAUCGAAGUCCUGGUUAUUAUAAUGGCCUUAUACCUGGCAUGUGUCUACUGGCGUCCGCAACAUGCUUGCGUAGAUGUGUCAUCGAGACAAGCCUGGUGAGAGAAGUGGUGAGAUGGGGAUGUGAUGGUUUGGUGGUGAAAUUUGGUUUCAAUGUUAACUUGUUGGUGCUGCUGCUGACGAGGCAUUAAGGGCAUGGAACUGUUGAGUAGUGCCUCCUAGCAAACGCACGUUGAGCCAUUAGAAGUCCUGUGCCUUGCUUGCUUGAAACGUUAGAUACUAGCCAGAUUUAGGCUAGUCAAAACGUCGGCCGACAGAAAUGAAUCCUGAUUGUAGAAUGACCACAGAUAUUCGUCAAAUCAGACUUGACAGUGAUGUAGGAGAUUUAUUACAAUAUGUUAUUUUUUAUAUGCAUCUAAAGCAAAAAUAAAUUCUAGCUUUAUUUCGUGAUAGAAAAACAAAAAAGAAAAGUCAAAUAUCGAAGGCGUAUGAUUUGUUGAGUUUAAUGUAAUUCACUUUAGAGACCUAUAUUGUAAAGUACAAAUAUUACUUCUUAAGAUAGUACACAUCUCUAAAAAUCGAUGUGUAUAAUAUUUCUUUUUCCUUUUAAGUUUUUUCUCUAUUUCUUUAUCAUUAAGAAACUCCUAUAUCACUGUAGAUUAUUAUCAUUUUAUGAUAUGUUGUUAAUUGUUUAAUAAUUAUUAGUAUACAAGCAUUUAAAAUCAUUUAUCAAAAAAUAUGGUAUAAUAACGUGUAAUCGCAGCAGUAUACUUCAGAUUUUGUACAUUCUAUAUUUGUGCUAUUUGAUAUAUCAUCAAUAUGCACAUGUAUUUUAACUGUAAUAUUUUUUCUUUAUCGGAUGAUAUUGUUUCUUAAGCAAACAAACAAAAAAGUAAAAAUUAAUUUAUGUAUAUGAGGAUUUUAAGUGUAUGUAUCUAAAAUGUGUAGCCUUUAUUAUGUUGCUUUGCCUACUUUGAGAUUAUUUCAAAUGUUUAUGUAUUAAAGGAAAAUGUUUAAGUGUACAGUAGUUCAGUUCAUUGCAUUUAGGCAGGUCUUAUCAUUUCAUCUAUACUAAUUUUUCACUUCUAACAGUUCGAACUCGCGUUUCCAACAAAUAUACAAAAAUAUAUAGUAAUAUUAAAAAAUUAUGGAAAACAUUAUAAUCUAUCUAUGUAGUGCUUAUGUCUCUAUAGCUCCUGCCAAACUUUCAUUAAAAAAAAAAAGAAUAAUAAAUGUACAUUUUAUCUGAAAGGUAAGCACUUGGGAAAAUAAAAAAAUAGAAAGAAAAUUAUAGACACGCUAUGUAGAAAACAACAAUUAAUAGAUAUUACUAUCAUUCACUUUCUGAAUCGAAGGAAAGCAAUUAACAUACUUUGAUGUAUUUAAAAAGGUGUACGUUUCAUUCUCAGAAAUGUCUAUAAAUUAAUAUUAUUAUAGGGCAAUGAUCUGUAUUAAAUUAGUGAAUAGUAGUACCUGGUAGAAAAA